UCCUACGGGUGGCUGCAGUCGAGAAUCUUCCGCAAUGGACGAAAGUCUGACGGAGCGACGCCGCGUGGAGGAUGAAGUGCUUCGGUAUGUAAACUCCUUUUGCCGGGGACGAAGUUAUUGACGGUACCCGGAGAAUAAGAAGUUGCUAAACUCGUGCCAGCAGCAGCGGUAAUACGAGUGCUUCGAGCGUUAUCCGGAAUCAUUGGGCGUAAAGGGUGUGUAGGCGGUGAUAUUAGUCUUGCGUUAAAUUUUCCGGCUCAACCGGAAAGCUGCGCGAGAAACGGUAUCGCUAAGAGGACGGUAGAGGUCUCUGGAACUCAUGGUGUAGCGGUGAAAUGCGUUGAUAUCAUGGGGAACACCAAAAGCGAAGGCAAGAGACUGGACCGCUCCUGACGCUGAAACACGAAAGCGUGGGUCGCGAAUGGGAUUAGAUACCCCAGUAGUC
rnacentral:rRNA from 1 species